rnacentral:rRNA from 1 species
UACGUAGGUGACAAGCGUUGUCCGGAUUUACUGGGCGUAAAGAGCGCGCAGGCGGUCGAACAAGUCGAGUGUGAAAGCCCCCGGCUCAACUGGGGAGGGUCAUUCGAUACUGAGGAGCUCGAGUCCGGGAGAGGUGAGUGGAACUCCGAGUGUAGAGGUGAAAUUCGUAGAUAUUCGGAAGAACACCAGUGGCGAAGGCGGCUCACUGGACUGGUAUUGACGCUGAGGUGCGAAAGCGUGGGGAGCAAACAGG